GUUUAACCGACUGCGACGCCUGAG
rnacentral:siRNA from 1 species